GCUUGUGCGCUCCGGUGGGAGGAGCGGUGGGCCGCGCGUGCGCGCCUGGAAUUGGGGCGUGCGUCCCGUGGUUCGCGCUCGUCAUAUUUACCGCCAGUGACCGCCGAGGGCGGUCCACUCUCUGGUUACGGAAAGGCUACGCCCAACAGGAGGCCUUGACCCGAACGGGAGCGCGGCACGUCCUGGCUCAGGCCUUGCGGCUGUGGUUAGUCAACUCACGCCCUCUGAUUGCGACGGAGGUCGGGCGCUGUCGGCCCUCGCUCUCCCCCUCCCGGUCGCGGACACCGAGGCGGUGGAAAGCGGUGUUGGGGCGGCUUGGUUAAGGGAGGCAGGAAUGAGGAAGCUGCCGAGGGGGCCAGGCCGUUUCCUUAGAGCAGAGCGCUGUGCGCGAAGGGCAAGAGUGGCCAGAGUUAAGCCAAGAAGCGCCGAGCACUCGUUUUCGGGGCGACCUGGCCGAGGGGCUCACGGGACCCCUGGAGAAAGUGGUGGCAGCGUCGGGGCUUGGGAUCGUCUCCAGAACAGCGGUCUUUAAGCAGUUUUGAUUGCUUACCCUUAUUAGUAAACAAUUUGGGUCCACCAUUAAAGUCGUUAUUUAAAUGCUUUAGUAAUAGAUGAUGUAUAUCCUUAAAAUACGCAAAACGGAAAAUACCAAGGAUGAGAGAUGAAAUAAUCAUGCUUAGCUGAUAAUUACGACUAAACAAUAUUAAUUACCAAUUACGUGAUAAAAUGAGUAUUUAUAGAGAACAAUGGACUUGGAUUCUGCCUUAUAAACAACUUUGAGGUUCAUUCAUAGUGAAGAAGAAGGAGGAGGAGGAGGAAGAGAAAAAGAAGGAGACGAAGAAGAAGGAGAAGGAGAAGGAGAAGAAGGAGAAGGAGAAGAGAAGGAGAAGGAGAAGAAGGAGAAGGAGAAGAGAAGGAGAAGGAGAAGGAGGAGAAGGAGGAGAAAAAUUGGGAUUUUAUUUAUUUAUUCAUGAGAGACAGAGAAAGAGAAGCAGAGGGAGAAGCAGGCUCCCAAGGAGCAGGGAGCCCGAUGCGGGACUCGAUUCCAGGACCCUGGGAUCAUGACCUGAGCCGAAGGCAGACGCUUAACCGUCUGAGCCACCCAGGCACCCGAAUCCCUGAUCUUGAAAUCAUCCCUCUUUAUCUAAAGAGCUGUCUGCUUUCCUGAAGCCUUGAGUACGUGCCCAGUUGUCCUGUGUCCAUCUUUUCCUGCUGUGAACUCCAACAUAAACAUGUGACAUGGGCAGGAGGAGGAAGGUUGUCUCCGCCCACCAGCAACAGCCCAGCCAAUGAGAGAAGUCACAGCUCAGCCAAUGAGAGACAGUCACAGCUCAGCCAAUGAAAAGCCAUAUACUUCCAGCUCCCAGUUUACUCCAAUGGGCUUUUUUGUUUAUAAUAGCCCCUCCCAACUCCCUCCCUUCUCUAUAAAAGAGGGUCCUCUCAUGUAUUUUCCAGACUUACCUGUGGUUUUGUUGUAGCUUACCUGUGCCGGUUUGCAAUUUUCUGCUCUCCCGAAUAAACCCCUCUUUUACUGGUAAAAUAACCGGCAGUUUUAUUUUUAAGGUUAACACAAAGUAUCACAAACUGUGUGGCUUAAAAUAAUAGAAUAUUAUUCUGUCACAGUCCUGGAAGCCAAAAGUCCAAAAUCAGUACCACGGAGCCAAAAUCAAGGUGUGAGCAAGGCUGCACUCCCUCCAGAGGCUGUAGGAGAGAGUGUGUUUAUUCCAGCUUCUGGUGGUUCCAGACAUUCCUUGACUUACAGCCACAUUGAUCCAAUCUCCGCCUCUGUGGUCACAUGGCCUCCUCCUUUUCUGUCUAUAUAACUCCCUCUGCAACUCUUAUAAGGCCAUUUGUAAGGGCAUUUAGGGCCCACUACAAUAAUCCAAGGUAAUGCCUUUAUCUCAAGACCCUAAACUUAAUCCCAUCUGCAAAGACCUUUUUUUUUUCCUUUCCCAAAUAAAACCACAUUAAAAGUUUCCAGGGAUUAGGACCUGGAUAUCUUUUGGGGUUGAGGGGGGAGGGCAUUUUUUAGCCUACUACAUUAUUCCCACCUUACUGCCUGAUUAAUUCCAUGGUGUAAUUAAUGCAUGAUGCUUUUGUGGACCAAGGGGAGAAGCAUGGCCUCCAUGAUGGCCCAGUCAUAAAAAGGCUGAAUGGUGCAGAAAUCAUAGACUGUAGGAAAGCCAGUUGUAAAUGUUUUAGAAUAAAUUGAGGCCGCCAUUGAGGCAUAGUGAUCAGGAAGAGGUCCUAAGAAUUGAAAUUCUGACUAUAUAGUAACAUGUAAAGAUGAAAGAGGAGAGUCAUAAAUAAAUGUUUACCCAUUAAGGUUUUUUGAGCCCAGACUCAAAGAGGAUCCAUGCUAAAGAUUCUAAGUGGGCACACAGCCAAAGGCAAUUGUUUAGAGUGGCUAGAACCUUCUAACAAGAAUGUUAAUGGAGAUUACAGCACCAGACUGAGCCAAGAGUCUCCUAUGAGCUCUUGAGAAGCAAGAAGAGCAAAGGGGCAAGCCCAUUGUUCUGGGUAGAAGGUGUAUUGUAAGUGGAAACCCAACAGUAAGCAGAACUAUUCACCUGCUAUUUCUGUUUUUGGCUCACCAUCACAGAGACUAUCAGACGGGAAAGGACAGAUGGGACUACGUGCUUUCAGGCAAGUCAAAGCCAGAGAUGGGUGUUGCAAGGGGGCUAUUGGAAUGAGCCCCCGUCUGAGGCUAGAAGACUUUGCAGACCAGCCUGCAGAGCCCGCCCCUGUGAUUCAUCUGAGAAAUGUGGGGGUGAAGGGGCUCCUGGAGAAGGGCCAGGGGGGUGAGGACAAAGAAAACCCAAGAAACUGAUCAGGGUCCUCACAUCAUUAAAUUCUCUGGUGUGAUGCAUAAUGCAGAGAAUCCAUUAACCAUGGCCCAGAGAAUAAUUUUGAGUUUAGGGAGACUUGCUGGAGAUGGAGACUUUGAGUUGAGAAAACACUCAUGAGAUUUAUCCAAUACUGAUAUAUUGAGCCAGCUCACCAGAGGGCCACUCUUGUCUUUCAGUGUUUAUCCUCUGCCCUUUUCAAAGAGAAUCAAGAGUGUAUAUCUCUUGAACCCACUGAAUUCAAUUUUGGGGAACUCCCUCCUGCUCUUCCCCCCUCCCUUAUUUCUAGAAGCCCGCCUGGACACAGAUCCUCUUGCGUACCCCUCCACCCAUCGCUUUUCCCCUAAAUGAGGCCAAUGAAGACAAAGAGCCCAUGAAGGGAAACCCUGACAACUCUGGACUGGCCAAAGGGUUGGCAACAGAACUUCUAAGAGGGAAAAGAAAUAAUUAAGGAAGUGGUAACAAGGCAUUAGCUUGGGAAGGGGGAGCAAAUAAAUGUAAAGCUUUACCAAGAAAUGUUUCUCCAUCUUACAGUGCUGUCAAGGUCGUUAAUGGACUGAGGAAGAUGGGCCUCAAAACAUAAAGAACUUGAAAUUGGCAGAAGUCCCAUCAGACAUCUGUUAGCACCUGUUAAAAAGAAAACAAUAGGCCCCAGAUGGUGUCACUUUGACUGAGUUUCCAAAUUGGGGCUUAAUACCCGAUCAAAUUGCUGUUUCAACCUUCCCUAGAAAUGUAGUCUUAACUGGCCAGGAAUUUUUCUAUCAGGACCAAGAAGUCUGCCACAAGGGCCCUCUCCACCCCGCAAAGGGAGAUGAGGUCAUCUGCAUGGUAAGCCCUCUUGCUUCUCCCCCAGAGGGAAAUCCUUGCCUGGAACAAUCCUGUUUGUCUGCCAAUAACUUUCUUUUUUUUUUUUUUAAAGAUUUUAUUUAUUUAUUUGAGACAGAGAGAAUGAGAGACAGAGAGCAUGAGAGGGAGGAGGGUCAGAGGGAGAAGCAGACUCCCUGCCGAGCAGGGAGCCCGAUGCGGGACUCGAUCCAGGGACUCCAGGAUCAUGACCUGAGCCGAAGGCAGUCGCUUAACCAACUGAGCCACCCAGGCGCCCCGCCAAUAACUUUCUUGUCCCCACCCUCCUUCUGCAAAAACCUGCCUUUUUGUGCAACUCCUCUUCUUGCUAGAUGGGAAGCUGCCUGAUUCACGAAUCAUUUAAUAAAGCCAAUUCGAUCUUUGAAAUUUACUCAGUUGAAUUUUUGUUAUUUAACACAGCUUUGUGGUUCCAAGUGCUGGGGAGACAAGGGUGAGGCCAGAAUAUGGUCCUGCUGCUCUAAUAAUUAACAGUGGGGACAGACGCUGUGGAGAUGUUACCAAACUAACGUGAGUUCACUCCUUAGUGAGUCACAGGUGGAGACUACACCGGCCAGAGUCAUCACACAAAGCACACUUAAUCUUCAGCAAGUAGGGAGAUCAUGGGGAAUCACUUCCACAGCUGUGACUCCCUGAGUAAGGGUGAG